UCCGGUUUGACACCGGCAGUCCCGCUAGAGUGCCCAGCUUUACCUGGUAGCAACUAGAGGCAGGGGUUUCGCUCGUUAAGGGACUUAACCCGACACUUCACAGCACGAGCUGACGACAGCCAUGCAGCACCUGUGCACGUUCCACCUUGCGGUGUGGCCCGGCUUUCACCGGGUUAAUCCGUGCACGUCAAGCCCUGGAUAAGGUUCUUCGCGUUGCUUCGAAUUAAGCCACAUGCUCCACCGCUUGUGUGAGCCCCCGUCAAUUCCUUUGAGUUUUAGCCUUGCGGCCGUACUCCCCAGGCAGGGCACUUAAUGCGUUAGCUGCGGCACCGGAGGGGUCGAUACCCCCGACACCUAGUGCCCAACGUUUACGGCGUGGACUAC
rnacentral:misc_RNA from 1 species